UUCCCUACGGGGCGCAGCAGUGAGGAAUAUUGGUCAAUGGCCGAGAGGCUGAACCAGCCAAGUAGCGUGAAGGAUGAAGGUUCUAUGGAUUGUAAACUUCUUUUAUAAAGGAAUAAAGUGAGGCACGUGUGCCUUUUUGUAUGUACUUUAUGAAUAAGGAUCGGCUAACUCCGUGCCAGCAGCCGCGGUAAUACGUAGGAUCCGAGCGUUAUCCGGAUUUAUUGGGUUUAAAGGGAGCGUAGAUGGGUUGUUAAGUCAGUUGUGAAAGUUUGCGGCUCAACCGUAAAAUUGCA
rnacentral:rRNA from 1 species